AGGACGAACGCUGGCGGCGUGCUUAACACAUGCAAGUCGAACGGUAAGGCCCUUUCGGGGGUACACGAGUGGCGAACGGGUGAGUAACACGUGGGUGACCUGCCCCUUACUCUGGGAUAAGCCUGGGAAACUGGGUCUAAUACCGGAUAGGACUUCAUGCUGCAUGGUGUGGGGUUGAAAGCCAGUUACUUUUGUUUCUGGCGGUGGGGGAUGGGCCUGCGGCCUAUCAGCUUGUUGGUGGGGUGAUGGCCUACCAAGGCUUCGACGGGUA
rnacentral:rRNA from 1 species